UAGGGAAUCUUCCACAAUGGGCGCAAGCCUGAUGGAGCAACACCGCGUGAGUGAAGAAGGGUUUCGGCUCGUAAAGCUCUGUUGUUAAAGAAGAAUGACAUUGAGAGUAACUGUUCAAUGUGUGACGGUAUCUUACCAGAAAGGAACGGCUAAAUACGUGCCAG
rnacentral:rRNA from 1 species